AGUCGAGGGGUAUAGUUCUUCGGAACUAGAGACCGGCGCACGGGUGCGUAACGCGUAUGCAAUCUACCUUUCACAAAGGGAUAGCCCAGAGAAAUUUGGAUUAAUACCUUAUAGUAUAUAUGAAUGGCAUCAUUUAUAUAUUAAAGAUUUAUCGGUGAAAGAUGAGCAUGCGUCCCAUUAGCUUGUUGGUAAGGUAACGGCUUACCAAGGCUACGAUGGGUAGGGGUCCUGAGAGGGAGAUCCCCCUCACUGGUACUGAGACACGGACCAGACUCCUACGGGAGGCAGCAGUGAGGAAUAUUGGACAAUGGGCGCAAGCCUGAUCCAGCCAUGCCGCGUGCAGGAUGACGGUCCUAUGGAUUGUAAACUGCUUUUGUACAGGAAGAAACAGUUCUACGUGUAGAACCUUGACGGUACUGUAAGAAUAAGGAUCGGCUAACUCCGUGCCAGCAGCCGCGGUAAUACGGAGGAUCCAAGCGUUAUCCGGAAUCAUUGGGUUUAAAGGGUCCGUAGGCGGUUAGAUAAGUCAGUGGUGAAAGCCCAUCGCUCAACGGUGGAACGGCCAUUGAUACUGUCUGACUUGAAUUAUUAGGAAGUAACUAGAAUAUGUAGUGUAGCGGUGAAAUGCUUAGAGAUUACAUGGAAUACCAAUUGCGAAGGCAGGUUACUACUAAUGGAUUGACGCUGAUGGACGAAAGCGUGGGUAGCGACAGGAUUAAUACCCUGGUAGUCACGCCGUAA
rnacentral:rRNA from 1 species